rnacentral:lncRNA from 1 species
AUCGAAUAACAUAGCGAGCGGCUACUAGCUUGCUUCGGCUUAGACCUGGCAAACGGGCGGGCCGGGCGGGCCAAAAAGGCCCAGGUUUUGGUGGGUUGGAAAUAUGAGGCCCGUGGCGGGCCGGUCCGGCCCGCGGGCUUCUCCCUUUAAUUAUUUUUUUUUGCAAACUCUUUGUUACACCAGAAAUAGUAAUAAUAAUAAAUAUUAAAAAUAAUAAAAUAAUUAAUAAUAAACAAUAAUACAAACAAACACGAUUAAUUAAUUACCUACAUUAACUACAUAUCUCAAUCAAUUAAAAUUUUAAUAGUAUUAUAAAUUAGUAUUAUUAAUUAAUUACCUACAUUAACUACAUAUCUUAAUUAUAGUUAAAAUAUAUUGAAGAUUGCAUUAAAACAAAUAGUUGUUGUAACUCAGUUGGUUUGAACUCUUAUUUAUUUACUUACAAGUCUUGUGUUCAAGCCUCACAACCCACAAGUAGUAACAUUUUAUUUUUAUUUUUAUUUUUAAAAAAAGUCAUGGGCCACGGGCCGGGCCAAAAUGGCCCGGGUUUUCGUGGGCUUAAAAAAUGCGACCCAAAGCCUGGGUUUUGGUGGGCAGGCCGGCCCGGCCCGCGGGCUUUGGGCCCGUUUGCCAGGUCUACUUCGGCUCUUACUAUGAGCUUGGGUUCCAUAGCUUUAGGAGCCUUCAAAGAAAAUCGAAUAGCUUUGCUUAGCGACGACUACUUUCUUUCUAGUAGCUGCUUCGCUUUAGGAGCCAUUUGGUGUAGAACCACAUAGCUUGUUCCGAAGCUAUUGCAUUGAUAGGCAGGGCUUACCGGUACAAUAAAGCAGUCCAUUUAAUCCUUCGCAAAUGUUGCUCUAGAACUCUUUUAGCUUGAGCGAGUGAAAUUUAUAUCAUACUUGCUCGCGCAAGUCAUUUCUUGCGCUCGCUCUAGCAAGGAUAGUUCUGCAAGGUAAUUGCGCGGGCCUUACUAGCUUUGCCUGCUUGGUUGUACAGCUACUAAAGCAAGGCUCUUUUGCUAUUCUACAGCUUGAAAAUGGCUCCUAAAGCUAACUACUAGCAAGAGCUAUGCUCAUUUUAGGGCUCCUAAAGUUAUUGAAUUGCUC